rnacentral:tRNA from 1 species
GGAGGGGUAGCGAAGCCAGGCCGUAACGCGCUCGACUCGAAAUCGAGUUGUCGGGGUACAAACCCGGCACGUGGGUUCGAAUCCCACCCCCUCCGCCA